rnacentral:lncRNA from 1 species
GUUCCGCUUCGGCUCGUUCCUUUACGACCCUAAGACCUCGUCAGUAGGACCGGAGGUGAGCUGCCGACCCCUUCCAGCUCGCUCGACCCUGUCCGACUCGCCCGAGUGCUGUCUGCCUCGCCCGAGGGCUCGGUUGUGUCUUUUUCUUUUAACCGAGGGUAUCUGUGUAAAAUUCUGAGAACUUCUCUAUUUUAAAUAUGAGGAUCCCGGUGCAGUUAUUCCUUAAUUCUAAGGGUUAGAUCGUAUGUUUUCCCCGAUCCGAC